CAGGAGCUUCCUUUCCUCAUGUCUGUAGAAGUUGGGGUGCAGUCCCAUUCUCGGGUCUGGGCUGGGGCUCAGCACUCUUCUGGGGUCUUCUUCUACCCCUGGAGCCCCCAUGCAUCCCACUCAGGUCUGGAUCCAGCAGUGCAGAGGUGAACCCCAGAUUUGGGGGGCAGUAGCCCCUCUCCCAGCCACACAUGCACUCCUUAUUCUCCUCCUCAACCUCCCACCAGAAUGACUGAGGCCAAGAAUCCAGGCCUCUGUCCAGGCCUGAUCCUAUUCAGGCCAAACAUGCACACCUGGGGCUUGCUCUGGGUCAGGAUCCAGGGUGCAGGACUGAGCAGGAUGCAGCACUAGGACUAUCGGAACGAGUGGCAAUGAAUAAGAAUGACAAACCUUUCCUGACAUCAGGUAAGGAUGGUGACAUGCAGUGUGAUGUGGGCACUCCUGGAGGUUGCAUGGAGGGGACAGGGGGGUAGGGAAGAAAGCAAACUCUCCUUAGUUACUCGUAAUAAAGAUGACAGUAACACUACACCUUCAGCUGACAAUAAUCCUCAGCAAGAAGAGCAGUCCAUGGUGAGCUGUAUAAGGGCAGAAGCCACACAGGUUUGGAAACUUGCUUAUCUGCAGCAUCUGGACCAGAAUGUGGUGCUUAGUAGGUUCUCAAUGGAUGGUGUUUGUGAGUGAAAUGAUAAGAAUUUUGUGUGCUUACUUUGUGUCAGGCACCGUGAAACGUGCUCCACUUCAUUCAGACCUUACAACCACCCCAUGGAAGGUGAUGUCAGUAUCCUGUUUCACAGAUGAGAAAACUGAGCUUCUGACCAGAUCUGCAGAUGGAGAAGCUCGCUUCUAGGCAUGCGAAUCGACUUUUAGUAUGGGAUCAUAGACUCUUACAGCUGGAAGCCUUAGAAGCUCACUCCAUCACCUCCCCAAUGCAGGAAUCCCACCCAAAAUCUCCCUGAGUGUUCUGUUGCACAAACACCUCCAAUGAUGGCUACAUACUGACUUCUCAAGGAAUGUUCUUUCCAUUGUUAAAAAAGAAAAAAAAAAAAACUGUCAAUGGAGGAAGUUAUCCUUCCAUUGAACUGAAGGUCAUCUCUUAGUAGCUUCCUCCUAUUGUUUUUAUUUUAUUCAUUAAAAAAAAGUUCAUUUCAACAUGCAACAUUUGGUGAUCCACUGGCCAUGUAGUAGACACUGUGGAGGACCCAAGGGAAACAGCCACUGACAUUGCCAUUGAAGAGCUGCUAAUGUGGCUAAAGAUAUAACAUGAAAGCUCCUAAAGACCUGCACAGCAAACGAAAAAAAUAAGAGUUAUCAGAAAACUGAGCCCUGUAGGGGCCGCACAGGAGGUACAAAAGUAAGUGCCAGAGGGACUCAACAGAGGAAGAGAAUCCAGUGUGGACUGAGUGGUCAGGAAGACCUGCCAUAGGGGGACUUUUGGGGGAUCCUUAACAGAAGAGUAUCAUUUGACCGGGUAGGGGAAAGGAGAUCAUCCAGGCCUGGGGAAACAGUAGGAGCAACGUUCAGCGACAAGACAGCACAGAGGCAGUACAGAAUUUCAGUACUUCAGUACAGUACUUCAGAAUUACUGUGUGAGGCAAAGGAUCGGACCCAAAUUUCUCUCCGGAUUUAUGUAUGAGAGCAAGUUAACAUCCCAGUUGUGAGGAGCCUGAAAUGGCAGCUCCAAGGACUAUAGAUAGGACUGAGUGAAAUGUGAUGUGCCCAGUGGUUACAGUCUGGAAACUGAGAGUCAUACUGGCUUCCAUGAAUCUCUGUCUUCACCUCUUAGAGCCGGUGGCCCACGCAACUUCUCUAACAUCUGCAAGCCUUAGUUUUUCAUCCGUAAAAUGGAGUCAAUAGUGACUUCUUACUCAUAGGAAUGUAGUGAGGAUAAGGUGAG